GACGAACGCUGGCGGCGUGCUUAACACAUGCAAGUCGAACGAAGAGCGAUGGAAGCUUGCUUCUAUCAAUCUUAGUGGCGAACGGGUGAGUAACGCGUAAUCAACCUGCCCUUCAGAGGGGGACAACAGUUGGAAACGACUGCUAAUACCGCAUACGAUCCAAUCUCGGCAUCGAGGAUGGAUGAAAGGUGGCCUCUAUUUAUAAGCUAUCACUGAAGGAGGGGAUUGCGUCUGAUUAGCUAGUUGGAGGGGUAACGGCCCACCAAGGCGAUGAUCAGUAGCCGGUCUGAGAGGAUGAACGGCCACAUUGGGACUGAGACACGGCCCAGACUCCUACGGGAGGCAGCAGUGGGGAAUCUUCCGCAAUGGACGAAAGUCUGACGGAGCAACGCCGCGUGAGUGAUGACGGCCUUCGGGUUGUAAAGCUCUGUUAAUCGGGACGAAAGGCCUUCUUGCGAAUAGUUAGAAGGAUUGACGGACCG
rnacentral:rRNA from 1 species